rnacentral:misc_RNA from 1 species
UGGAAACACAAAAUUCACGAUAAAAAAAAGAGAAUGUAGCGACUUUACUCGUGUGGCAAGCUGGCAACACUGACGGGAAGCUGAGGAGAAAAUGGCCGAGACUCGCGAGGCGGUUGUCUAGUCCUUUAAGGUUAAAAUGGAGGAACUACUGUCGUUAAAGUGGAACAAUCAUCGUUCCACAUUUUUACACAUUUUGGGUGUGCUCAGGGAUAAGCAAGCGUACACAGAUGUGACUCUAGCAUGUGAUGGCAAAUUCUACAGUGUGCACAAAUUGGUGCUCUCAACAUGCAGUGAUUAUUUUUGUGCCAUGUUUGACAAAACUGCUUGUAAGAGCCCUGUUAUAGUGUUGAAAGACAUUAAAAGUGAGGACCUGGAGGCCUUGCUAGAUUAUAUGUACCUUGGUGAAGUGAAUGUGAGACAGAGUGACUUGGCGUCUUUGAUAAAGGCGGCAGAAAACCUUAGAAUCAAGGGCCUUGCAGUACCUGAUGAUGAACCUCCUAAGAAAGGUUCUGUCCCUGCCUCUCGGACUGACUCUGGCAGGAGGGAGGGGGGCAGUGGCAGCCCUCCUUCUAAGAGGAAACGUAGAGAUGAGGGUGAGGAUGGAAGGGAAGAUGUAAGACCUCCUGCUCCUUCAACAGGAGGUUUACAUACCCCUCCUCCACCCUCCUCUAGACCAAAGAGUCCCAUUAGCCAGCGAUUAAGUUCCUCCCCUCUUAGAACCUCUCAGGAGUCCCUCAUGCCGGAAGACCGUGAUAGCCGUCCCCUCUCUUCUCCGGCAGAAUCUCCUGUUGCCUCCCAUCUUACACCUCACCAAUCCUCACAACAGUUGCCUCAUCAGUCAUCUCAGUCAUCACAACCUUUGCCUGAUCAGCAUGAAGUCAGUAAUCAAUAUAGGGGGGAGGAGACACCCACAUUCGUCAAGGUAGAAAUGGAGGAGGAGACGGAUGACAUGCAGAGGGAUUCUUACAACAUGAGUGGGGACGGCUAUAAGGAGGAAAACAGUGGGGGUGACCUGGGAGGGGACCUCAGCAAUGACUUGCCGGAAUUUCUUCAGCAGGCAGCUUCUGGUGCCCUUGCUAGUACCUCAGCCUCUUACCACCAUGCCUUUGCUGGACCCUCAGGCUUUCAGCCGGAUGUGUCUGGCUGGCAGGGGGAUAGCCAGUCCUUGCCUGGGAGUUUCUCUGGGCUGGGUUUUCAGCAGCCUUCCUCUCAGGAUAAUCCACCAGGGGGCGUGGUGGUUGGCGGCGUGGUGGGUGAGGAGAUGCGGGAGUACCUCGUAUGUCCAGUGUGUGGUCGCUACAUCACUGGCAAGAACUGCCGCCAGAACCUGCGCCACCACCUGCUCAUCCACACAGGGGAGAAGCCCUUCCGCUGCCCCCACUGUCCACACAGGGCCAAUUAUAAGCCCAAUCUGCUGAAGCACAUUCGUGGUGUGCAUGGCCCUAAACUGUCAGGGCCCACGGGCCCGGGUUCCCUCCCAACACUGUCGCUCAGCCUGGGCGCUGACCAGCCUUCAGGCGCCCCAUUUGUGCCCUCAGGACCAUAGAGUGUGUGGUGGUGUCUGUUGGGUGGCUGAUGCUUAGUUUGGGCAGGACGCUGUUGCCCUUUGAGAGCGGACCUUAGGGCGUGCAGCUCACAUCGCCCUCAGGAUGGAACCCGCCAGUUUCUCGCAGACGGCCUCCUUUGUUUAUUGAUCUGCUUCCUUGCUCUAGAGUAGUGAUAGUUUAUUGGGCGCUUCAUGCCGUAGCUACAUCGUGUGUGUGUGUGUGUGUGUGUGUGUGUGUGUGUGUGUGUGUGUGUGUGUGUGUGUGUGUGUGUGUGUGUGUGUGUGUGUGUGUGUGUGUGUGUGUGUGUGUGUGUGUGUGUGUGUGUGUGGACUCCGCCCCAUUACACCUCACUCUUGGCUUAACGUUUGCUUUUUCACUAACUUCCUUGUGGUGACCUGUGCUAUUAUUAUUAUUAUUAUUAUUAUUAUUAUUAUUAUUAUUAUUAUUAUUAUUAUUAUUAUCAUCAUCAUUGUUAUAAUCAUUAUUAGCUUUAGUCGCACUAGCAUCAUUCAUUGUUAUUCAUUGUUAUAUUAGACCCUCUAACGUCCCAAGUUGUAAACUUAGACUCAUUGAGUUGUUCCCCUCCACGGAGAGUAGUGAUGCAGUUUCACCCACACUCUGCUGUACACACCUUGCCAUGGCUACCCAUGUGUGGGGGAUGUCUGGCUGGUAUACUGAUAGAUUUUUUUACUUUUUCAUUUUGUUAUUGUUGUUUUAAUUGACUACGCCACAGGUGCUUCAUGUUUUUGUUCCUUCCUCCUUUCGCUUCACUACUUUGCUUUUCCUUUGCCUUGCUUCAGUUGGUGGAGGUGGAAAGUCUUCCUCCUUAUGCAGAGUCCACCAACAGGUAGCCAUUCGCUUUGUGCCUUUCCUGCUGAGGCGGUCCGGGAAGGUUGUGUCAUGUGUAAUAACCUAAAGACAGGCAUUCUUCUCUUCACUUUUCUUCCCGUGUGAAUUAUCAAAAAGACUUCUUAAGAUCAUAUGCACCGUCGGGAUACGCGUAACUUUCAUCAUUAUCAUCAGCACAGGAAGUUUUCGUCAUAAAAGCUCCUAUUUCAGCUACUCUGCUAUAAGUUUUGGGUGAGUGCGUGUGGCUGGGAUGUUGCUACGAUCCUCUAUUGCUAUAUUGAGUGGCUUGCUUGACAGACAUUCAGGGCGUGUGGUCAAUUGUCUUUGCUUAACGUAGCAGGGGUGGGGCGGUGGAGGAUGCGUUAUGAUCGUUGUGAUGAGCGUGAACAUUAGUUUGUGUGGUAAAUUUACUUCCCUAGACUGUCAAGUAUGCGCCCUGCUCGCCUCGCCUCACCUCGCUCUCACAUAUGUUCCCAAAACUCCGACACACACACACACACACACACACACACACACACACACACACACACACACACACACACACACACACACACACACACACACACACACACACACACACACACACACACACACACAAGCCCGAUAAAUCCGUAUUCUAUAAGUCAGGAAACCAUGACAACGUAACCUGAGAGUCCGUUAAUUUAGUGCGUUAAGAGUCUGUUGAAUAGAUACACGUGUUAAGUCCGAUAAGGAUGAUGUUCUCCAUGAAAUAAAACAAGUCCGAUGAACAAGUAGGUGUUAAGAGUGCGACAAAACAAAUACCCUUAUUAGUGCGAUACUACGAUAAGUAAAUACCCUUCAAGGAUCCGAUGAAUAUACGUAUAUACUAUAUAUAGUAUUUGUCCAGAAAAAAAACUUGAGAUACCCUUAAAGAUAUCCUUCGUUUUCUUCUGCGCACUUUCUUUGCUGCGGUUCUUAAAAAAAAACCUGAUAGCAUUUUUUCGUUUCUUUUUCGUUCCAUACACGAAUAUGUGUAUAUACAGUAUAUUAACUGGUUUUGUUUUCCUUGCUUUAAUAUGUGUGGACAAAGUAUUAUUCGUUGUUUGUUUAUAAAAGUCUACUUCACAAUAGAAUAUGUGUUCAUAUUACCCGCUCCUGAGUGUAUGUAUUGUACGUAUGUACAUGUGUGUGUGUGUGUGUCUCGUCAAUCAUCUCGCCACUAAGAGAAUAAAGAAUAUAUAUGUAUCUAUCAUGUAUGUAUGUAAGUGUUAUGUUUGUAUGUACACCUAGUAUGUAUGGUCCAUGUUCUUUGUCUUGUUAGUAUGCAGAAAUAUGUGUGUGUGUGUGUGUGUGUGUGUGUGUGUGUGUGUGUGUGUGUGUGUGUGUGUGUGCGCGCACUUAAAAACACUGUCUUUUU